rnacentral:rRNA from 1 species
AUUGAACGCUGGCGGCAUGCUUUACACAUGCAAGUCGAACGGUAACAGGCCGCAAGGUGCUGACGAGUGGCGAACGGGUGAGUAAUGCAUCGGAACGUGCCCAGUCGUGGGGGAUAACUACUCGAAAGAGUAGCUAAUACCGCAUACGAUCUAUGGGUGAAAGCGGGGGACCGUAAGGCCCCGCGCGAUUGGAGCGGCCGAUGUCAGAUUAGGUAGUUGGUGGGGUAAAGGCUCACCAAGCCAACGAUCUGUAGCUGGUCUGAGAGGACAACCAGCCACACUGGGACUGAGACACGGCCCAGACUCCUACGGGAGGCAGCAGUGGGGAAUUUUGGACAAUGGGCGCAAGCCUGAUCCAGCAAUGCCGCGUGCAGGAAGAAGGCCUUCGGGUUGUAAACUGCUUUUGUACGGAACGAAACGGCUCUGGUUAAUACCCGGGGCUAAUGACGGUACCGUAAGAAUAAGCACCGGCUAACUACGUG